rnacentral:RNase_P_RNA from 2 species
AGAGUGGGCCAGGCGGUCGCCCGGGGCGCGAGAGCGCUUCGGGAGGAAAGUCCGAACUGGUCCGGGCGCGGUGAUGGCUAACGGCCACCGGCGGCGACGCCAGGGACAGUGCCACAGAGAUGAGACCGCCGAUGGGUGCCGGCUCUCGAGACGGCAUCACAGGCAAGGGUGAAACGGUGCGGUAAGAGCGCACCGCGCGGCCGGCGACGGUCGCGGCACGGCAAACCCCACCGCCAGCAAGCCCAUGUAAGCGGCGAGUCCGCAGCGACGAAAGCCUGCGAUUGUCGAUUUCGAUCGACGAGUGCGGGCGCGAUCGGCGAAAGCUGAUCGGCGUCGCGGCGGCGCGAGGCGGCCCGUCUCGCACCACGCCGCGGGUAGGGCGCUUGAGCCGGCGAGCAAUCGUCGGCCCAGAGAAAUGAUCGCCACCGCGGGAGCGAUCCUGCGGGACAGAAUUCGGCUUACCGGCCCACUCUGCUU